rnacentral:rRNA from 1 species
CCUACGGGAGACUGCAGUGAGGAAUAUUGGUCAAUGGACGGAAGUCUGAACCAGCCAUGCCGCGUGCAGGAAGACGGCUCUAUGAGUUGUAAACUGCUUUUGUACAAAGGUAAACCUACAUACGUGUAUUCAGCUGAAAGUACUGUACGAAUAAGGAUCGGCUAACUCCGUGCCAGCAGCCGCGGUAAUACGGAGGAUCCAAGCGUUAUCCGGAUUUAGUGGGUUUAAGGGGUGCGUAGUCGGAUGGAUAAGUUAGAGGUGAAAUGUCCGAGCUUAACUCGGGAACUGCCUCUAAUACUGUUGAUAUAGAGAGUAGAUGCGGUAGGCGGAAUGUAUGGUGUAGCGGUGAAAUGCUUAGAGAUCAUACAGAACACCGAUUGCGAAGGCAGCUUACCAAUCUAUAUCUGACGUUGAGGCACGAAAGCGUGGGGAGCAAACAGGAUUAGAUACCCUUGUAGUC